rnacentral:tRNA from 1 species
GCCUAGUUAGCUUUUUUGGUAGCGCUAUUGCCUUGUGAGCGCUAGGCCGCGGGUUCGAUUCCCGCCCGGGGCG